rnacentral:rRNA from 1 species
CAGUAGCCGCGGUAAUACGAAGGGUGCAAGCGUUAAUCGGAAUUACUGGGCGUAAAGCGUGCGUAGGCGGCUUCUUAAGUCGGAUGUGAAAUCCCUGAGCUUAACUUAGGAAUUGCAUUCGAUACUGGGAAGCUAGAGUAUGGGAGAGGAUGGUAGAAUUCCAGGUGUAGCGGUGAAAUGCGUAGAGAUCUGGAGGAAUACCGAUGGCGAAGGCAGCCAUCUGGCAUAAUACUGACGCUGAGGUACGAAAGCAUGGGGAGCAAACAGGAUUAGAUACCCGAGUAGUCCCUGUCUCUUAUAA